GAACGGGUGGAGUAACACGUGGGCAACCUGCCCAAAANAGGGGGAUAACACUUGGAAACAGGUGCUAAUACCGCAUAACCAUAGUUACCGCAUGGUAACUAUGUAAAAGGUGGCUAUGCUACCGCUUUUGGAUGGGCCCGCGGCGCAUUAGCUAGUUGGUGGGGUAAAGGCUUACCAAGGCAAUGAUGCGUAGCCGAACUGAGAGGUUGAUCGGCCACAUUGGGACUGAGACACGGCCCAAACUCCUACGGAAGGCAGCAG
rnacentral:rRNA from 1 species